rnacentral:rRNA from 1 species
AGCGAACGCUGGCGGCAGGCUUAACACAUGCAAGUCGAACGGCCAUCUUCGGAUGUCUUUGGCAUACGGGUGAGUAACACGUGGGAACGUACCCUUCGGUUCGGAAUUACUCAUUGAAACUUGAGCUAAUACCGGAUACGCCGUUUUGGGGAAAGGUUUACUGCCGAAGGAUCGGCGCGCUUCUGAUUACUUUGUUGGUUGGGUAAGGGCGUAUCAAGGCGACGAGAUGUAGAUGGUCUGAGAGGAUGAGCAGCCACUCUGGAACUGGGAAACGGUCCGGACUCCUACGGAAGGCAGCAGUGGGGAAUAUAGGAAAACGGGGGCAAGGAUGAUGCAGCCAUGGCGGGUGAGUGAUGAAGGCGUUAGGGAUGUAAAGCUCGUUUGUCCGGGACGAUAAUGACGGUACCGGAAGAAUAAGCCCCGGCUAACUUCGUG